UAACAAAACUAUUCGCCAGAGUACUACUCGCAACUGCCUAAAACUCAAAGGACUUGGCGGUGCUUCACAUCCACCUAGAGGAGCCUGUUCUAUAAUCGAUAAACCCCGAUAGACCUUACCAACCCUUGCCAAUUCAGCCUAUAUACCGCCAUCUUCAGCAAACCCUAAAAAGGAACAAUAGUAAGCACAAUCAUAACACAUAAAAACGUUAGGUCAAGGUGUAGCUUAUGGGUUGGAAAGAAAUGGGCUACAUUUUCUACAUAAGAACACCCAAUACGAAAGUUUUUAUGAAACUAAAAACCAAAGGAGGAUUUAGCAGUAAAUCAAGAAUAGAGUGCUUGAUUGAAUAAGGCCAUGAAGCACGCACACACCGCCCGCCACCCU
rnacentral:rRNA from 1 species